rnacentral:tRNA from 1 species
CGGGGCGUAGCGCAACGGUUAGCGCGCUUGGUUCGGGACCAAGAGGUUGCUGGUUCAAAUCCAGUCGCCCCGA